UAUUACUAAUGUGAAAUACUGUUUAAUAUACUAUGAUAUCAUCAAAUGCGUGUCAAGCGUAUUGAAAACUAAAAUAUAAUUUUAUUGAAUUCCAUAUUAAGGAAAAACCCGCAUCGGUAGACUUUUUUUAAAUGGCAAGUUUUCGUGAACUGGACAUAAGUGAAUUUUAAUUUUAGUACACAUCAAGUUCGCCGUAUGUCAGAGAAGUCGGACAUUCGAGUUUUAUACAAUAAUUUUAUUAAGUGUUAUAGUGAAAAUAGUUUUGUGUAAAAAGUAACAAUGGUAGGGGAUUUCUUUGUUGUGUUAACAUCAUGUCUAUUUAUAGUUUUCGUUAACGGAUGGACUGUAUUUCCCUUACCAAACACUCCGUACCAGCCUCAUGCAACUCCUGCGUUACAACCGACAUGGCAGAAACCAAACUGGUACCAGAAUUGGAACCAGCCGUCGGCCCAGCCGUGUGUAGAAGGUUCAACGGCAUCUCCAAUAAUUGCACCGGGUUCUAUCCCGUCACCCGCCUUACCACUUAUAGUACCUAAAAAGCCUUCAAGAUCGCAAGUAUCUGUCAUGAGUACGGAUGAAUAUUUGACACCAACAGCUGUCCUAACCUCUCCCCAAUACAUGUCAACUUGGGAACCCUAUUAAAUAAAGACAGCACAAUAAAUACCAGAAUGAUGGAGUUUUAUUGUACUUUAAAUUAAGAGACUAGAAGAACGCAUCAACCCCAGACAUGCAAUUUUAUAACAAUUUCAAUGUUUGUAUUAUAUAUUUUUAAAAGCAAUUAGUUUAAAAUUUGUUACAAUCUUUUGCUUCUUAAGCUAUCAAUAAAAACUGUUGAACA